rnacentral:rRNA from 1 species
UACGGAAGGCAGCAGGGGGAAUAUUGCACAAUGGGCGCAAGCCUGAUGCAGCCAUGCCGCGUGUAUGAAGAAGGCCUUCGGGUUGUAAAGUACUUUCAGUCGUGAGGAAGGUGUUAAGGUUAAUAACCUUAGCAAUUGACGUUAGCGACAGAAGAAGCACCGGCUAACUCCGUGCCAGCAGCCGCGGUAAUACGGAGGGUGCGAGCGUUAAUCGGAAUUACUGGGCGUAAAGGGCACGCAGGCGGUUAAUUAAGUUGGAUGUGAAAUCCCCGGGCUUAACCUGGGAAUGGCAUUCAAGACUGGUUAGCUAGAGUCUUGUAGAGGGGGUAGAAUUCCGAUGUGUAGCGGUGAAAUGCGUAGAGAUGUGGAGGAAUACCGGUGGCGAAGGCGGCCCCUGGCAAAGGGCUGACGCUCAUGUGCGAAAGCGUGGGGAGCAAACG